rnacentral:lncRNA from 1 species
AAUGCGGUAUUUGCUUGACCUGUGAAGAGAAAGCUAUGCCCACUAUUCCCAGGGGGAGAUUACGGCAGUGUACUCUUUUUCCGUCGUCAUGGUUUUUAUCCCAAUGGGUUUUUCCAUGACUAUGUUUUUAACGAGGCACUACGUAAUAUGAGAUGGAUAAUCAAGGGGGAGUGUUAGAUAAUGAUCAUCCAUCUCAUGAAGACAUCUGUUUCAUGACUAAUAUUGUAUUUGUCAUUGUCACU